rnacentral:rRNA from 1 species
AACGCGAAGAACCUUACCUGGGCUCGAAAUGGAGUGGACCGGAGUGGAAACAUUCCUUCCCCGCAAGGGGCUGCUCUAUAGGUGCUGCAUGGCUGUCGUCAGCUCGUGUCGUGAGAUGUUGGGUUAAGUCCCGCAACGAGCGCAACCCUUAUUACCAGUUGCCAUCAUUAAGUUGGGCACUCAGGUGAGACCGCCUCGGAUAACGGGGAGGAAGGCGGGGAUGACGUCAAGUCCUCAUGGCCUUUAUGUCCAGGGCUACACACGUGCUACAAUGGCCGGUACAAACCGUCGCAAACCCGUGAGGGGGAGCUAAUCGGAAAAAGCCGGCCUCAGUUCGGAUCGAAGUCUGCAACUCGACUUCGUGAAGUCGGAAUCGCUAGUAAUCGCGGAUCAGCUAUGCCGCGGUGAAUACGUUCCCGGGCCUUGUACACACCGCUAGUC